rnacentral:rRNA from 1 species
AUACGAAGGGGGCUAGCGUUGUUCGGAAUCACUGGGCGUAAAGCGCAUGCAGGCGGGUCGUUAAGUCGGGGGUGAAAUCCCGAGGCUCAACCUCGGAACUGCCCUCGAUACUGGCGAUCUUGAGUCCGGGAGAGGUGAGUGGAACUGCGAGUGUAGAGGUGAAAUUCGUAGAUAUUCGCAAGAACACCAGUGGCGAAGGCGGCUCACUGGCCCGGUACUGACGCUCAGGUGCGAAAGCGUGGGGAGC